AAUCAUGAAAAGUAGGGCUGUGCAAAACUAUCCGAAAAACCGAAAACCCGAAAAACCGAACCGUAACCGAACCGAAAAAUUGGGUACCCGAACCGUUUAAAGAAAACGGGUCGGGUAACCGAACCGAUAAGAAUUUAACGGUUCGGGUAACGGGUACCCGUUAACACUGUUUCGGGUACCCGAAUGUCCCGAAAAUAUUUUUUUUCGAAAUCUCAAAUGAAAAAUGUCAGUUUUUUUUAGAAAAAAAGAAACAGAAAAUAAAGAACAAAAAAGUGAAAACCCUAAACUUCGUUCUUUUCUCAUUUCUCAGUCAUUCACUUCACUCAGCCUCCAUCCCCCUCUCUCUCCUCCUCUUCUCUAAUGUCUCUGCCUCUGGUUCUCUAAUCUUCAUUCUCCAUUCUCCAUUCACUCCUUCAUCUCCUCCAUUGAAGCGGCUCUGAGCUUUCACUCCUUCAUCUCCUCCAUUGAAGCGGCUCUGAGCUUUCACUCCUUCAUCUCCUAAUGUCCUCAGAUCGCAGAUUCAAUUUAGGGCUCUGCGUACUUCGACUUCUCCAUUGAAGCGGCUUCUGAGCUAUACGCCUAUACUCCUUCAUCUCCUCCAUUGAAGCGUACUUCGACUUCUCCAUUGAAGCGGCUCUGAGCUUUCACUCCUUCAUCUCCUACAUUGAAGCGGCUCUGAGCUUUCACUCCUUCAUCUCCUCCAUUGAAGCGUACUUCGGCUCUCCAUUGAAGCGGCUUUUGAGCUUUCACUGUUGAGGAGUGUAUGGAAUCUGGAAGUAGUGGGGAUAUGGAAGACUCAUCGGCUACAAGUCAAGCUCCUCCAAUUCCAAGUCCUCCUCCCGAGCCUUGGGAGUAUGACCCUUGUCCAAUGACGGAAAAUAAUGACCCCAAGGCUCCUCCCGAGCAGGUUCAGAAGGUUGGUUUGAUUGAUUUUGCUGGUCAAAGGGGUCAUUAUUUUCCGUCAUUGGACAAGGGUCAUACUCCCAAGGCUCGGGAGGAGGACUUGGAAUUGGAGGAGCUUGACUUGUAGCCGAUGAGUCUUCCAUAUCCCCACUACUUCCAGAUUCCAUACACUCCUACAAAUGAAAAAAAAAA